GUGCUUCAGCAGCACAUAUACUAAAACUGGAACAAUACAGAGAACAUUAGCAUGGUCCCUGCACAAGGUGACAUGCAAAUUCAUGAAGCAGCCCAUAUUUUU
rnacentral:snRNA from 3 species